rnacentral:lncRNA from 1 species
AUUAUUAUUCUGGGAUAAUAAUCUGAAAAAAAUUCUAAUAAUAAUCCAAACUAUAUGAUUACAGCUCGUCUUAUGAGAUUGAGUUAUUAAUCUUAAUUAAUCCACUCAUCUCAUAGGUUUGCUAACCCUAUUUACUAAUUAAUAACCUCGUCCUAAAUUAAUAAAUAGCUGAAUCCAAUUAAUCAAAUCUAGACUAGUCUUUAAUCGAACUAGAAUAAAAUAAUAAGGCAACCUCAUUAUUUAAAGGGAGCAACAUAGGACAGCCCAAAUAAAUAGAUAAGGAACUGGGCCUGGAAACCAUCUAAUCAUACAGUCCAUUCUAACUCUGGCCCAGCUUAAAUAUACAGCUCUUAAAAAGAUCAGCCCAUUUCUAUUAAUACUGGUCCAAGAAUGCGGCCCAUCUGAAAUAAAUAAACUGACCUAACAGAAAGAAAUAAAAUAAUGGCCCAUAAUUAAGAAAAUAAAGGCCCAAUUCCAAUCAGCCCAUUUCUCUCUCUCAUCAAUCGGUCUUCCUCUCUCUAAUUACACACACACUCGCAGCAAACCUCUCCCUCUCUCGCUUGGUUCCGCUCACAGGCACAUGCCCAAAUCUGUCGCCGUUCGUCGAUUGUCGCAGUCGCGGCGGCGGCUCCUGAUAAUCCGGCGAAGCCUACGCCUUCAACGGCCUUGUCUUCUCUCUACUCAAGUUAUGCUCAAUCAAAAUCAGGAAUUGAACCCUAACUCCUUCAUUUCUCAAAUCGCCGCCGUCGCGGAUCUUCUCCGGCGAAGCAGGCCGCUGUUUCCGAGGCUCUAAAACUCCAGUGCCGCUUCUCUCAACCGGCGUGGUCGAUGCCUCUAAUAUCGGUGAAGAUCUGGUGCAACCGCCGCCGUCCGCCGACACGCGUGGAAGCUCUAUCGCCGGACGUCGCCGCUGCUGAGGUAACGCCGCCGCCCGGAGUUGCAGCUGCUUUGCCCGGAAUCGAGGUCGCUGGUCUGAUCUCCAGCAGCCCGCCUCGCUCCUCGUCUCUUCCACGAAGGAAAAGCAAAGCCCCAAUUCUCCCUUGAAGUUUCAAACGGGUUUUCUCCCCCAAAUCAGAUCGGCCUUCCCUUCAACUCCGGUCGGCUUCUCCUUCCCCGGCCGUUCACUUCCGCCAGCUCCAUCCAGCAUUGGCUGUCUCCGUGUCUAACCCCGGCGUCGUCCCCUCUCGGUUCAGCUACGCUGCUGCUGGUUCAGAAUCGGCGAGGGUCGUUGGGAGUCGUCGUGCCCUUGGCUCUUUCUCUGAAAUCGCAGCGCCGUCACCUCGAAUCUGAAAAUCCGGCGAGGCCGACGCUAAAUUACUCAACCGGAAACAAAUUCGACUGCUCCUCUCUUCCCCGUGUUGUAGCAGAUCAGUCGUCGUUGUUGGGUCUGUAAACCCAGCGACUAGCGGUCGCCGUUUGUCCCUGGCGCCGCUCUCCCCAUUCUUCAGCAAGAUACUAUCUUGCUGAAGCCGCUGCUCCGGCUUCUGAACCAUCGCUGCCCCUGCUCGAACUCCGGCGAGC